GAUCAUGGCUCAGACGAACGCUGGCGGCGCGUUUAAGCAUGCAAGUCGAGCGGCAAGGGCCUUCGGGCCCUAGAGCGGCGACGGGUGAGUAACACGUGGACAAUCUGCCCCCGGCCCGGGAUAGCCCAGGGAAACCUGGAUUAAUGCCGGAUGAGACGGGACCCGCGAUGGCGGGAUCCGGGAAAGGCGCUGCGGCGCCGCCGGGGGAUGAGUCUGCGUCCCACUAGCUAGACGGCGGGGUAACGGCCCACCGUGGCGACGAUGGGUAGCCGGCCUGAGAGGGUGGACGGCCACAUUGGAACUGAGACACGGUCCAGACUCCUACGGGAGGCAGCAGCUAAGAAUCUUCCGCAAUGGGCGAAAGCCUGACGGAAGCGACGCCGCGUGAACGAAGAAGGCCGUGAGGUUGUAAAGUUCUUUUCGGGAGGGGGAACAACCGUGGCAGGGAAUGGCCGCGGGAUGACGUGAAUCCCGGAAUAAGCCCCGGCUAACUACGUGCCAGCCGCCGC
rnacentral:rRNA from 1 species